UAUUCUGAGAGUAGGUUCUUGUCUCCUUCCUCUGUAUAUAAAAACUGUUUAAAACUGUACAACAUAAUAGUGUUUUUGGAAAACUGGUUCAUACAGUAUAUCCUGAAGUCAAUAGCGAAUAUGGCUAUGUAUAUAUUUAAUUUGCCGUUAAUGUAUUGAAGACCUAUUUCAGCAAGUUAACCAAGUUUUUACUGGCUUAGCUAGCCAUGUUAAUGAUGAGCUAACUAGCACCGUUGGUCACUGCACUACAAUGUCACGCUAGCUAUUGCCAGCAGGUGAUUUGCUAGCAGGUGGCUUAUUAAAAUAUUAAGUGAAUGUUUAUUUUAUUACUCCCUUAAAAGGUUUAUAUAAAAGGGUUGUACUUGUGCUCUGUAUUAAAGGAUUAAUAUCAGUUCACAUUGAGGGUAUGUAUCGCUACUGUUGCUCCUAUCUAAAAUGUAUCUUGUGUGAUACCUAACCAGUGAACGUGUGGCUGUGACCGUCCUGUCAAUGCCUGUCAUCACUGUUUGAUAUCUUUUACUUACUAAAAACCUAGUCAACCUGGAGUGCGGGUGUCCGUGUGCCUUUCUUCUGAGGGGCUAUGUAAAGUUGGUUACAUCAGCAAGGGACACACUUUGUAUGUGGACAAUUGGUACAGCAUUCCCAGUAUUCCAGCAUCUGCUCUCCAACAGCACAGGGGCCUGUAGCACAGUCAAGUCGAACAGGAGGGGGAUGCCGGCAUUCGGAUGCAGGAAGAUGAAGAGAGGGGAGGUGGAGUUCAAGGAGAACGGUCAACAGCUGGCAGUAAAGUGGCAUGACAAACGAGACGUCCAUGUCCUCUCCACUGUCCAUACAGCAACCAUGUCUUCCACAGGGAAGGUGGACCAACUGACGGGAGAGAGAAAAAUCAAACCAGACUAACAGAUAAAGUAAUUACCUACCAAAAGUACAGAGAGAACCUCAUGAGAGAGCUGCUGGAGGAGCACCACACACAUCGACGCCCAUCCACUGGGGGUCGUCAUGCUGCGGACAAUCCCCUAAGCCUCACUGCACGGCAUUUUCCCUGCAAAGUCCCUCAAACUGCUGCUCAAGGUAGUCGCACACGGAGGCACUUGUCACGGGCCGGCUCAUAACCUGUGACAAAAAUGAGGGGACACGAAGAACAGGAGGAACCGCCACUGCAAUGCAGAGGAGGGGUCAUGACACACUGCAAAGUUUGCAUGUCUGGCACCAGGAGAAGAAAGCAGAGGAAGUUGUCAAAAUACAUGCAUUUAGCUUGUGAUACACCUCUAUGUAUUUCACCAUGCUUUGGGGAGUAUCAUAUGCUCAAGCGAUAUUGAGCACAUCUGCAGCAAUUAGUGACUGACUGACCUGACAGGUGACCUUCCAUGAUAGUAGUUGUUGUUCAAUCACGGCAUGAAUAUUAAAUACGGGUUAUGCAUAUUCAGUCUUUUUUCCUCUAGUUAAACUUGUUCAACCAACCACCACCAUUACUGCAAUAAAAUAGACGACUAUUCCA